GGAAUAAGUUCUCAAAUGAAAAUUCCAAUGCUUGGAAUACCAAUUAAUUGGGGCAAAAGGCAUCUUUGUAGCGAUCCAAACAUGGUCCACAUGUGUCUUUGAAGGGAUACAGAUCUUUCAAACUUAAUGUAACGACCUGUUUAGUCGUUUUGAGCAGCAGAUUUUAUUUCUGGAAAAACAGGCUGAGACGACGGAACCCACGACGGACCGUCAUGAGCACGACGGACUGUCGAGGGGUCUCG
rnacentral:misc_RNA from 1 species